UGAUUACAUCAAGUAAAAUCCCUGAUCUACUCAGGCCAAACCCUAUUUUUAUAAACAUAUUUUUGAAAUAGGUCUAAUUUUUAGUGACUUUUGACUUUUGAAAUAGGUCCAAUUUUUAGUUACUUUGGACCCAUAUCAAAAUACCCCAAAAUUAUAAGGAAAAUAUGAUCAAGUAAUUAACAAAUUUUGAAGACCGAUUUGUGUUCCCAACAAUAAAAAGAUUGAACCCAGAUAUAAGAGCUUUGAUUUACUUUGCAUUUCGGUUAUGGAUG
rnacentral:lncRNA from 1 species